rnacentral:tRNA from 1 species
CUGGAUGUAACUCAGUGGUAGAGUACAAGCUUCCCAUGUGUGAGGACCUGGGUUCGAUCCCUGGCAAACACU